UAACUGAUUCAGAAAAGAUCUGUAUUUUUUUAUUUACCCAAGAAAAUGUUUACUAUAUUCAGCAAAUGCAUACUGCAUGUAAAAAUAGCUGCAGGUUUUUGGUUCUAUGAUGUGAACCUGAAAAAUACAUUUGUAGUCACAAAUCCUGAAGAAUAUAUGUGGCUUUGUUGGAAAUAAAAUUCUGUUAGUAUUGAUAGAAGAAACACUCAUCUGGUAAAAAAAAAUCAUUUCAUAUCUUGUCACUAAAAAUGUUAUUAUCAUUCAGCAUUAGUGAGUUUGUGUUAUCAGAAGCCUGCAAAAUGUAAAAGGGAAAAUACAAAUAAUCUGGUCUUUUACUUCAUUUUUAAAGAAAAAUGAUAAAAUUGAACAGUUGAAAGAAAAUUGUGAUCAGCUCAACAAAGAAGUAAUCCAGAGGAAAGAAGAAGUUGAUUCAAUAAAAGAAGCUGUUUCAUCCAAAGAAAAGCUGAUAUUAACAGAUGAGGAAGAAAUUGAAAAGCUUCAGGAGAUGCAGACUUAUUUAAAAGCUGAGCUAGUUAGGAUCCUUGGUGUUCCAAAGCAACUUGCAAAAGAAACUGAGAAGUUGAUUCAGAAAAAAAUUGAUGCGGAGCAGAAGAAUGAAGCCCUUAAUGACCAAAUAGAAGAAUUGAAUAGCACCCUGAAAGCCACUGAAAAAAGGACUGAAGAGAUUUUGCAAGAGAAAGAAGAUGUAAUGAAGGAAUUGGAUGAGAGACAAACUUUGAUACAAAAGAAUGAAAGAGAAUGCAUUAAUUUAACAAAAGUACUAGAAAUUAACGCAGAGAAGGAAUUAGCCAUCCUAGCAGACAGGUUAGAGACAGGAGCCACAUGGAAAGAGUGAACAAUUCUCUGUUCUGAAAAGUUUAUUUCUUUUUUUUGCUGUUGCUUCUAUUUUCAAGUUUUGUGCUGCAACCAGUGCAAAUUAUAAAUGAUCAGGCUUGGUUUUCACUUCCAAAAUAUUUAUAUAAAAAUUUGAAAUCUGGAAUCUAGGAUCUGGCUUGAAAAAGAACAUCAAAAAGCAUAAGCAUUUGAUAAAUCCUAUUAGAUUUUGCUCUUAAAAGUGAAAUAUUUUAGAGAGUUUCUCUCUUUAGUGCACAUAUUUUCUUUCCUGUGUAACCUACUGAAAGUAAUUUGAAGAACAAUUAAGUAUGUCAGUAUUUUCAUUUUGAAAUGAGGGUCAUAGAUGUCUUCCCUCAUGUAGUCCUGAGUUUCAGUGGGGAUUGGUUAAUUGUCUCUUUAAUAUUCCCUUCAAUUGUGAUUUUAUAUUUACUUGGUAAAGUAAAAUAAACUGUUAUGUUGAAGGCA
rnacentral:lncRNA from 1 species